rnacentral:rRNA from 1 species
GAUGAACGCUGGCGGCGUGCCUAAUACAUGCAAGUCGAGCGAACUUUUGGGAGCUUGCUCCCAAAAGUUAGCGGCGGACGGGUGAGUAACACGUGGGUAACCUGCCUGUAAGACUGGGAUAACUUCGGGAAACCGGAGCUAAUACCGGAUAACAUUGAAGGCCACAUGGCCUUCAAUUAAAAGGUGGCUUUUAGCUACCACUUACAGAUGGACCCGCGGCGCAUUAGCUAGUUGGUGAGGUAACGGCUCACCAAGGCGACGAGGCGUAGCCGACCUGAGAGGGUGAUCUGCCCCCCUGGGACUGGGACACGGCCCAGACUCCUACGGGAGGCAGCAGUAGGGAAUCUUCCGCCAUGGACGAAAGUCUGACGGAGCACCGCCGCGUGAGCGAAGAAGGCCUUCGGGUCGUAAAGCUCUGUUGUUAGGGAAGAACAAGUAUCGUUCGAAUAGGGCGGUACCUUGACGGUACCUAACCAGAAAGCCACGGCUAACUACGUG